rnacentral:rRNA from 1 species
UCGAGCGAGAAUCCAGCCCUCACAUUACCUGGGAUGAAGGAGGGAUAAGCUUCAAGAGAUAAAAAAUCUUGAGUGGUUCUAAUUGAUGGCAGGUAAGGUGAGGGCUGGAGAGUAAAGCGGCGGACGGGUGAGUAACGCGUGGGCAACCCAUCCUUUGGUUCGGGAUAACCCUGCGAAAGCGGGGCUAAUACCGGAUAAUCUGCAUAUCUCCAGGGAGAUUUGCGGUAAAGUGUGCCUCUGAAGCAAGCAUACGCCAAGGGCAGGGUCCGCGUCCCAUUAGCUAGUCGGUAGGGUAACGGCCUACCGAGGCGACGAUGGGUAGCUGGUUUGAGAGGAUGAUCAGCCACAUUGGGACUGGAACCCGGCCCAAACUCCUACGGGAGGCAGCAUUGGGGAAUCUUGGGCAAUGGGCCAAGCCUGACCCAGCGACGCCCGUGGAGGGAAGAAGGCCUUCGGGUCGUAAACCUCUGUCGGAG